UGUACUGCAUAUGGUCAGAACUGUGGGGACACGGGGUGUUAACGGAAGCCGGGAAAGGAAAGACCGGUCCAAGCACAGGAGGCGUUGCGCAGGCAAAUCCGCGCAAUAAGCCAAAGGUGUGACGGGGAGCGAAAUUAUAGUAGCGAAGUCCGGAUACAUGCUGUCAAGAAAAGCCGCUAUUGCGCCAUAUGUACCCGUACCGUAAACCGACACAGGUGGAUGAGGAGAGAAUCCUAAGGCCGGCGGGAGAAGUGUUGUUAAGGAACUCGGCAAAAUGGCCCCGUAACUUCGGGAGAAGGGGCGCCCAGAAAUGGGCCGCAGAGAAAAGGCUCAAGCAUCUGUUUAGCAAAAACACAGGUCUAUGCGAAACCGAAAGGUGAGGUAUAUGGGCUGACGCCUGCCCGGUGCUGGAAGGUUAAGGGGAGAGGUUAGCCGCAAGGCGAAGCUUUGAACUUAAGCCCCAGUAAACGGCGGCCGUAACAAUAACGGUCCUAAGGUAGCGAAAUUCCUUGUCGGGUAAGUUCCGACCCGCACGAAAGGCGUAAUGAUUUGAGCACUGUCUCGACAACACACCCGGUGAAAUUGAAAUACCAGUGAAGAUGCUGGUUACCUGCGCCAGGACGGAAAGACCCCAUGGAGCUUUACUCUAGUUUGAUACUGGGACCCGGUAUGACAUGUACAGGAUAGGAGGGAGGCAGAGAAUUAAUGACGCCAGUCAUUAAGGAGCCGCUGUUGGGAUACCACCCUUGUGAUGCCAGGUUUCUAACGAGCUGCCGUGAACCGGCAGGCGGACAAUGUCAGGCGGGGAGUUUGACUGGGGCGGUCGCCUCCGAAAGGGUAUCGGAGGCGCUCAAAGGUUCCCUCAGAAUGGUUGGAAACCAUUCGGAGAGUGCAAAGGCAGAAGGGAGCCUGACUGCGACACCGACGGGUGGAGCAGGUACGAAAGUAGGACUUAGUGAUCCGGUGGUAUAAAGUGGGAUUGCCAUCGCUCAACGGAUAAAAGCUACCCUGGGAUAACAGGCUUAUCACUCCCAAGAGUUCACAUCGACGGAGUGGUUUGGCACCUCGAUGUCGGCUCAUCGCAUCCUGGGGCUGGAGUAGGUCCCAAGGGUUGGGCUGUUCGCCCAUUAAAGCGGUACGCGAGCUGGGUUCAGAACGUCGUGAGGCAGUUCGGUCCCUAUCCGGCGCGGGCGUAAGAGAUUUGAGAGGAGCUGUCCUUAGUACGAGAGGACCGGGAUGGACGGACCACUGGUGUAUCUGUUGCACCACCAGGUGCACGGCAGAGUAGCCAAGUCCGGACGGGAUAAACGCUGAAGGCAUCUAAGCGUGAAGCCCCCCUCAAGUUGAGAUCUCUCAUUCGAAAGAAGUAAGACCCCUUGAAGACGACGAGGUAGAUAGGGCAGAGGUGGAAGGGCAGUAAUGUCCGGAGCUGACUGUUACUAAUCGGUCGAGGGCUUGACCU
rnacentral:rRNA from 1 species